GAUGAACGCUGGCGGCGUGCCUAAUACAUGCAAGUCGAGCGAACGGACGAGAAGCUUGCUUCUCUGAUGUUAGCGGCGGACGGGUGAGUAACACGUGGAUAACCUACCUAUAAGACUGGGAUAACUUCGGGAAACCGUAGCUAAUACCGGAUAAUAUUUUGAACCGCAUGGUUCAAAAGUGAAAGACGGUCUUGCUGUCACUUAUAGAUGGAUCCGCGCUGCAUUAGCUAGUUGGUAAGGUAACGGCUUACCAAGGCAACGAUGCAUAGCCGACCUGAGAGGGUGAUCGCACACACGGGAACUGAGACACGGUCCAGACUCCUACGGGAGGCAGCGGUAGGGAAUCUUACGCAAUGGGCGAAAGCCUGACGGUGCAACGCCGCGUGAGUGAUGAAGGUCUUCGGAUCGUAAAACUCUGUUAUUAGGGAAGAACAUAUGUGUAAGUAACUGUGCACAUCUUGACGGUACCUAAUCAGAAAGCCACGGCUAACUACGUG
rnacentral:rRNA from 1 species